UUAUAAGCCAACUAGAGGCUCUAAAGAGCCUGUGUCGCUCACCUUGGUCUAUGUGCAUAUUAAACAAAGGACACAGAUGGAUUCAUGACAAAAUUGUGUUUUGCUGAUAGUGAUGUGUUUGUAGAUCUUACUUUACUGAACAUUCUUGGUACUUAGAAUUUUCUCUAUCUAUAAUAAACUUGGACCUUUAGAUACAGUGAAAAAUAUUUUGUAAAAAUUUACAAAAAUUUACCAAAUUAGUGAAAAUUGUUAAAAAUUGAAUAAAAUGGGCAACAACUCCUUAAGGGGUCAACUGACGAUUUUGGUCAUGUUGACUUAUUUCUAGAUCUUAUUUAGCUGAACAUUAUUGCUGUUUACAAGUUAUCUCUAUCUAUAACAAUAUUCAAGAUAAUAACCAAAAACAGCAAAAUUUCCUUAAAAUUACCAAUUCAGGGGCAGCAACCCAACAACAGGUUAUCCGAUUUAUCUGAAAAUUUCAAGGCAGAUAGAUC
rnacentral:lncRNA from 1 species